UGACUNGAGUGCAGAAGGGGAGAGUGGAAUUCCAUGUGUAGCGGUGAAAUGCGUAGAUAUANGGAGGAACACCAGUGGCGAAAGCGGCUCUCUGGUCUGUCACUGACGCUGAGGCUCGAAAGCGUGGGUAGCGAACAGGAUUAGAUACCCUGGUAGUCCACGCCGUAAACGAUGAGUGCUAGGUGUUAGGCCCUUUCCGGGGCUUAGUGCCGGAGCUAACGCAAUAAGCACUCCGCCUGGGGAGUACGACCGCAUGGUUGAAACUCAAAGGAAUUGACGGGGGCCCGCACAAGCGGUGGAGCAUGUGGUUUAAUUCGAAGCAACGCGAAGAACCUUACCAGGUCUUGACAUCCCGAUGCUAUUCUUAGAGAUAGGAAGUUACUUCGGUACAUCGGAGACAGGUGGUGCAUGGUUGUCGUCAGCUCGUGUCGUGAGAUGUUGGGUUAAGUCCCGCAACGAGCGCAACCCUUAUUGUUAGUUGCCAUCAUUAAGUUGGGCACUCUAGCGAGACUGCCGGUAAUAAACCGGAGGAAGGUGGGGAUGACGUCAAAUCAUCAUGCCCCUUAUGACCUGGGCUACACACGUGCUACAAUGGUCGGUACUACGAGUUGCGAGCCGGUGACGGCAAGCUAAUCUCUGAAAGCCGAUCUCAGUUCGGAUUGGAGGCUGCAACUCGCCUCCAUGAAGUCGGAAUCGCUAGUAAUCGCGGAUCAGCACGCCGCGGUGAAUACGUUCCCGGGCCUUGUACACACC
rnacentral:rRNA from 1 species